GACUUCCGGUGCAGCAGUCCAACUUAUCCAACAUGGCGCUGACGUCGGAUGCCUGUGAAGCGUGCUAAAACCUGCGAAAGUCGAACAGCUGUGGGUUGAUUUUGUUCACGAAACUUUUACUUUAAAAAAAAAAAAGAUUUGGGUUUGUUUCCUGAAACUGCUGGAUUCUGUGAAAUGAGAGGGAAGGAACAUUCGCCGCUCAAAAAGCGCUCCCGUGCAGCAGAUGACGGCCAAGGAGGAAGCUAUCCUAGCGGCAAGAGGAGCGGAGUCUCAACCGGCUGCAGCGGAUCCUCUCAAAGCGGCUCCGGCUCAUCCCGGAGAAUUUUACACAACAACAAAAGGGACAUGAGGGACCUGGACCGAGAGAAUUCCUCCAGUCGGACCGGCAGCUACGACUUUGGAGCCGCUUCGGGGAACAAGCCGCACGGCGGCUCCGUGGCGGACUCAUCCAGGCCCGGUCCCCGCGCCGACCUGCGGCCUCCGUCAAACCCAGGAAGUGAGUACAAAACGCUCAAAAUAAGCGGACUUGGCUCCGAGCUGAACAGCGAGGAGAUAGAAGACGGACUUUUCCACGAGUUUAAGAAGUUCGGAGACGUGAGUGUGAAAAUAAGUUGCGAAAAUGACGAGAGGGUGGCGUUCGUGAACUUCAGGAGACCCGAUGACGCCAGAGCGGCGAAGCACGCCCGGGGCAAGCUGGUGCUGUAUGACCGUCCGCUGAAAAUAGAGACCAUCUACCUGAGCAAGCGCAGAAGCCGUUCGCCCAUCUCCAAGGACGGCUUCCCCUCCGGACACCGACACCUCCACUCGCAGAGGGCUCUGUCUCCCACGGGGCCCGGAUACAGAGACUUCCGGCUCCAGCAGUUGGCUUUGGGCCGCCUGCCUCCUCCGCCGCCUCACCUCAGAGACCUGGACAGAGACCGAGAGUUUCCCCUGUACGAGGCCAGGAACAGACCCCCGUACAUCCCAGAAUGUGCCGUGUUUCGAGAGGACAAGCUGAUCUGUCCGGAGGAUGACCAAAGGGCAAACAGGACGUUGUUUCUGGGCAACCUGGACGUUUCCGUGACGGAGAGCGACCUGAGGCGGGCCUUUGACAGGUUCGGCGUGAUCACAGAGGUGGACAUUAAGCGGCCGGUGAAAGGACAGAGCAACACCUAUGGCUUCAUCAAAUUUGAGAACUUGGACAUGGCUCACCGUGCCAAAGUGGCCAUGUCGGGGAAGAUUCUGGGCCACAGCCCAGUUAAAAUUGGAUAUGGGAAGCCGACGCCCACAACCCGGCUGUGGGUGGGGGGCCUCGGACCCUGGGUUCCCCUCACCGCACUGGCCAAAGAGUUUGACCGCUUUGGCACCAUCAGGACUAUAGACUACAGGAAAGGGGAGGCGUGGGCUUACAUCCAGUAUGAAAGCCUGGAUGCGGCUCAGGCUGCAUGCUCUCACAUGAGGGGCUUUCCCCUCGGGGGGCCCGACCGCAGGCUCAGAGUGGACUUUGCAGACACGGAGCAUCGCUACCAGCAGCAGCAGCAGUUCAUGCAGCUCCCACUCCCACUGCCACAUUACGAUGUGGUCUCUGAGCCUUUCUCUCACCGCCUCAUGGAUCCUGUGAGGAUGAGGGAGCGUUCUCCUCUGCCCCCUGCUCGCUUUCGGGACCGGGAUCUGUAUUCCUCUGCCGAGUGGUCCGGCGUGAGCCCUCAUGACAGGAUCAGAGGCUUGGAACUCGUUGACCACUUGGAGAGGCGCCCAAGAGAGAAGUGGUCUAUUGAGCGGGAUUUGAACCGCAAAAGGAGACAUUUGGACGAUGGCUGGCAGCAGGAACGCUCUCCUGCUAACGGGGACUACGGUACGCGCCGCCACGCCGGGUCUUUGGAACGCAGCCCCGGAGGGAGCAGCCGCGAUGGAGGUCGCUGCAGCGACGCCGAAGGCCUGCCUCCCUCAGGGAAGACCUCUCCUGGCAAAAAGAAGCAGAACACCCGCGAGGGGGCUCCUGCCGAAAAGAAGAGGAGGACACGCAGCCCCCCUGAGCUUGUGGCCACCGCUGAGAAGAACAGCAAAGGCAAAGCGGACUCCUCUAAGAGCUCAGCAAAGAAAGAACAUCCAUCCACAAACUCGUCUCCAUCCAAGUCUGACCCUGAUGGACAGAAGCUGAGUCAGGCCUGGGAGGGGGUCCUCCUGCUCAAGAACAGCACCUUUCCGACCUCCCUGCACCUCCUGGGGGGAGACAUGAAUUUGGCUUCCAGUCUGCUGGUGGAAGGCCCCACAGGAGGUAAAGUCUCUCAGCUGAAGAUCAGCCAGCGCCUGCGCAUGGACCAGCCCAAGCUGGACGAAGUCUCCCGCCGCAUCAAGGCGGCCAGCUCCAGCGGGUACUCCGUCCUCCUGGCCGUGCCGGGGAGGUCUGCCGACGGCGAGGGUCAGGACAGCAGCAACUCCACGGAGCGGCCGCUGAAGAACCUGGUCUCCUACCUGAAGCACAAAGAAGCGGCCGGCAUCAUCAGCCUCCCGGUGGGGGGCGGCCGCGACAGAGACCACGCGGGAGUCCUGCAUGCCUUCCCUCCGUGCGAGUUCUCGCAGCAGUUCUUGGAUGCCUCCGCCAAAGCCUUCGCCAAAUCUGAAGAUGAUUACAUGGUGAUGGUCAUAAUCAGAGGCGCGUCGUCGUAGGCAAAGGGGCAGGAGGGGCUGUGCUGCCCCCUGGGGACUGUUGAAGGGCCAGGCACGAAUCAGGAAGUGCGGGAAGAUCCGUUUUCAUUCUGUGCAACCUGAAUUCUGUCUUUUAUUUGAUGCUGGGAGCAGAUUUGACAAGAUGAUUGAUUUGUUGUCUAUGCCGAUAAAACAGAAGGGUUCUCCUUACAAAGCCGCUCAGAAGAUUCUGUAUGUACGUUUUUACAUGACGCAGAAACAGUUUCAACUUUACACGCUUUUAUUCAGGAAAUGCAUGGAGGGCAGUGGGGAUCCAGUCACCCUGUAGUGUUGAAUCUGCAUUGAAUAAUUAUGACGAGAGUCAAUCGACGACUGAAGAUUUGUAACUUUUGAUAAAAAGAAACUCCUCCUUUAAUGCAAAAACUUUAUUCUUGUGUUGAAAGUUCCAUUCCAAAUGAUUCUUUUUAUUGUUUUUAAUCGCCAGUUUCAUUUGAUGCCGCACAAAGAGAAACCCCGGAGCAGACUGUAGUGUUUGGGGUGUUUGUGUAUCUUUUUGCACAUCACUGUGGGGGUCCUGUCAUGACACACAAGGGUUCACGAAGUUCUCACAGACCGCAGAGUGUAGCAGCGAGCAUAUUUGAUCUAGAAAAUGAAAAGAUGGAGGCUAAAGAACGACUGAAGUGGGAAAAAAGGCAGAAUCCAAAGUCGGGUUUGUGGUUAUUUUACUUCAGACGGUCAGCAAACCUUAACUUUGUAGAGGAUUAAGAUCAAACUGCUGAGUAAUGUUCAUUUCUGACAUAUUUUAUGCAUUUUUUGCCCCCCCUCCCCAUACAACAUAUUUUAUUAAUGUGUGAUCCAAACUGGGUGACUCGUCAUUUGGGUUUCAUGUUCUGAUGUUCUAAUUCUGGUUCCUACCUGUACUAAACCACAUAUGUGGUCUAAACCACAUGAUGUCUGUCCUGCACAUCUGGACCUGCCAUCACCUCGGACUCGAGUGAUGCAAACGCGAGGAGGGGAAGCGGUUGUCCCGCGGCGGUCCUUGAAAGAAGACUUUUUAACGCUCGCUUUUCAUGCUUUAAUUUGAAGUUCUGUGUUUUUUCAAAAUGGGGAUAAAAAAAAAAUCUGUGCUGUUUGCUCUGGAUAUCUGCAAGAGAAGUGGAGAACAUCAGUGACCUGAGAGGGUUCUCCAACUGUGAAAAAAAAAAAACACAAGUGCGGAAGGCACUUGAUGGCUCUUGUCUUAAUAAACAUGAGUUUCCGUGGGAAACCAGAGUGCCUCGGAAGACGACUGUUGUCACCUGUUCUGUUCUGGGGAUUGAUUCUCAAAGCGGAGAGGCUUUCACGCCGACGGCAGGAGUCGCCGUCCGCCGAGAGGACAGGAAGUGUGAGAACCCAGCGCGGCCUCUCGGUCGGGUGUGUCCAUGUUUGAUUUGAGAUUUGGCCGCACUAGAGUACUUUUCCAGCAAGUCUAGCGUCGCCUCCGAUGUACGGCUUGUCCUGCUUUUUUUCCGGAGGCGUGCCUGAAAAGCAUCAAGUUCGUCGUCUCACCGCAGGCCGUCGCCAUCAGACGGCCUCUCUGGAAGCACGACUGCGAGUCCAGCAGCGCAGGGAUGCAGAAAGUACGGGUUCAGCAUCUGCAGCAGCUUCCAGAAGGAACGGCGCUUGUUUUAGCUCAGAUUGUGACACUGGAGUUUGGAGGAGACCAGGACAGACUUCAGUCUGUGUCUGGAGUUAAAGCUCGACUUGCUGGCGCCAUUUGCCUAACUUGACAAAACUUAAGGAAGAACCAAUCGCCUAUACGGUCUUUAACUUUUUUUGUUGAGUUUGACACUUUUGAAAAGCGUAUAAUAUGAGACUUGAUGUGGGAGCAAAGCCACGAGCUGCAGGAUCUACCUGAAACUGCCGCGCUUCCUUCUGAACAGAAGGAUGGAGGAGGAGGAGGAGGAGGAGCGGCGCCGGCCGGGGGUUCUGGAGGUGCGGGAUACACCGGCUUCUGUUCUGCAGGUAACGUAUAGAAAAGAUAGAAAAAGUGCUCUAGUUACCCUGUAGCUAAACUCAUGAACCAAAUGUGCAAAAUCUGUCAGUUCUCCUGUGAUGCAACUUCUUUCCUCAUUCAAACCCAUUUUAAUGCUUUUUUUGGUCAAAUUUAGUUUGGUUUCCUGUAAUUCUUGUAGUUUAACACGUAGAAUGUCAAACUUAAAAAAUAAAAAUUGAACAGUUUUCACUGAAGUGAGUAGAUAAAAAAUGUGAGACAGAUGGAGGAAAUAACUGCACCAAUUUGAAGCUUUAAAAAUGUUAUAAAAAAUCGGGGUUGACUAAAACAGGACUGGAUGUCACUCAUAAUCUAUGCUUAGAUUUACAGUUCAGGACCACAUAGUUUGUAAUUUAAGAUCACAUUAAGUUGAAUUUUUGAAGACUUACAUAUUUUUUUUUAAAUUGUCCCAAAAAAGUGUUCUUUUCUAAAAACCAAAAGCAGAAGCAGCAUAAGGACUUGCUUCAAAAUCAACUUUAUUUUUUGAUGUCUUGUGGGUGAAAAUCGGUUUAAAUAGGUUUUUCAAACCUAACUAGCAGAUGUGUGAUAAAGUUCACUUUCUCUCUAAUUGACCGGCUGAAGGCCUAAACCUGGUCGGCAGCCGUGAGCGUUGCAUUCGGGAGCAGCUGAGGAAAAGAGAGGAGCGACCUCAGAAAAGCUGAGAAUGCCACAUUGCAGGCGUGAGACGUUUGAGGCGCCGGUCAAAGGCGAAAGGAAGCCAACAGCAGGUGUUCAUCUGUUUCAGGCAGAUCCUCAAACGGCAGAAAAACGAUUCAAACGUCAGGUUUUGUUUGGUUUUCUAACUUGUCCUGUUCAACAGCUGAGCAAACAGAUGAGAGCAGAAGGCCUCUUGUGUUGGACAUAUUUGACUGUUACAACAUGGGGUUAUGAAUCUCCUAACACACCAAGUGUAUAUUUGAAUAAGCCCUUUUUGUAAUUUAUACUGAACUAUAUUCAUAUUAAUCAUAUGUGUAACAGUUUUUUGUUGGAAACGUCAGUUUUAUUGCGUCCAAACCCUUCAAAUGUCGUUUUUGAGGGUGGAUCAAAUUCCCAAAGUGACUCUUACCAAACUUGUGUUGCUAGGAGGCUGGAGGGAGCUCCGAGGCAGACAUCAUUUUCUUACCGUACACAUAACUUCUGUACUGUUUCCAUCCAGCAGAUCUCUACUGUAGGAGGAGGACACUGGUCACAGAUCGAGGUAUGUGACCCAAAACGGGUCAUAAAAAUGAACCAGACCCAUUCAGAACUGUGUCACAGAUGUCUUCAGGUAGUUUUUAUCAACGCCGGGACUGAGGUGGCGCCAGUGAGUCCUUCCACAGGCGGGAUGUCGCCGUCGGUCAUCCUGAUGGGUCGUCCGGAUCGCCGCUUGAAAUGUGAAGUGACAGCGAGUGGAAAACUGCCCCUCAGGUGAACUCAGCGGUCGCGUUCUGUGGCUCCAAACACCGUCCUUUGCUCUCCAUCUGUCUUCCAGAGAAGCUGCUUCUCCGAGUAUUGAACGUGUUUAACCGACGCUCAGAGGAAGGAGAGGAUCCAUCCUUCCCACCGACCAGAUUAGAGAAAACUCCUGUCUGAUUCAUCAGAAAACUGAAACCAGGUGAGUGAGACUUGUUCCGAAUAUUGUUUUUUAUUAUUCUGUAUUUUGUACAUUUGUAUUCAAAUUUGUAUUUGAGUUUGCUGAAAUAAAGGAAAUGUUUCUAAAGUGCA